rfam:Janthinobacterium sp. KBS0711 VM94_contig000025, whole genome shotgun sequence.
CCGGAUGUACGACCAUCUGUCACCUACUUGAGUGUGCGUCGCCGGUAACGGCGGGGUGCAAAGCCUCAGGGACAACGUACCCCCAUUCUUUUUCGGCAGCCCGGCGUGCGAACGCUUGGCUGGAGACUGCGAGCAGCGAUGCGGUCCAGGGG